AGACCAGGUCCGGAUGCUGCGAGUGCUGCGCCUGUCCCGGGACCCUCGACCGGGCGACUCCCCCGGGGCGGGGGUGGCGUGUGGUCUCUAGACAACUGAGGGAAAGUAGACAGACCGUGCUCACCGAUUUAAAAGAACAGCCCUGAAAUGACCCCCGUUACACCCUGUUCUCUUUAGACAAGUUACUUCCACCUGGAGCGGUUUCUGGGCCCGGGUAUGGGGAUUUCUUCACCCGGCCCCCUAGGCUUUCACCUCGGUGGAAUUUCCCGCGCCCCCGCUGGGAUGAUUUAGGGACUGUUGGCUAGAACUGCCCUUGCCUACCGCCCUACUGCGGGCGCUCCCCUGUCUGGGGGGUGCUUGGCUGGGUGUGGAGAAGGAUCAAUCACAGCUGACUCCUCAGAGGUGACAGCCCCUGCCCCCUUAAAAACAAGAAAAGACCUAGCAGUGUGAAGCCAAACUGCACCCCCAGCCCCGGUGACAUGAGGAAACCGUGAGGCGCUCAGCCUGAGGUUCAUCGUUCAUCUCCUUCCUGCUUGGAAUCAGAAUGUCCUCACUGCUGAGUUUCUCCGUUUUAUGGGAUUACAUUAGUGGACAAAGGAGUGAAGCAAAGCAGCACUGAGCUCCUCCAAGUAAAGAAAGAAUUGUUUUCUGUACAACCUGGAGCUGAAUCAUAGAAGGAGAAGACAGCUUGAAAGAUAAGAGGCCGUAAGGCAGACCACAGAGGAUGGGGAGGAUUUCCCCAGCACCCCAGCCCCCAUAGUCAGCUCUGGUUCAGCGAUUUCAGCAACUCUUUCAUGACCCAUCUGAUUUUGUUUUAUCCCAGCCCUGCAGAGAAAGGACUCUGCAGGUCAGGACUUGCUUCUUCAACAGACAAAAACUCCUCUGCCAGAAAAGUUGGAGAAACUAGUUUAGAAAGUCGGAGGAUGUGAAGAAGUCUGCCUUUGUUCUGGGGACCUUGGUGGGAGAUGAGGGUGGGCUGGUGGAGACGAGGGUGAGAAUGAACCUUGCCGCAGACCCUUUGGGCUCCAUGCAGAGCUGGCUGCAGAAGAGGAAGGAAAGGAAAUUGGCCAGCUGCUGUCUCUGUGACUGGACCUGGGCCAAUCAAGAAACUGAGAGGAGCAGGGCCAGCCGGCUGUUGUGCCUCAAACUUAGGCAGAAACAAGCAAAGGCAAGGAUUUGGGGCUCUGAGUCACCCUCUCUGGAGGAACAAGAGCUUAGAGGAGGAAAUCACUUUUUAAGCUCCCUUUACUUUUACACACACGUUUUUAUUCCAGUAAAUUCAAACUAAAGAGGAAGAAGUCAUGAAAGGGCAGCUGCCACCUCAGGCCAUGGUGGCGGAGACAAAGGCUAUGGGCCGGUGUAGACGUCUAAGAAACCAACAGGAAGUCCCAGCCGGAAACACAGAAAGGAUAUGGAGAAAAUUAUUAUUCUGCCCCUACAGUUUCGGUGACCCAGAUGGGAUCUCUGGGACACCCUGCCUGCUCUACAAUUGGGAUCCCUGGAAAAGUGACAGAAUCUGGCAACAGAUGAGUAAGAAAGGUCACUUCCUGGCAGACCUCAGGUAUAUUGGGGACAUCAAGAAAAGAAUAAUUCAUCAAAGUCUACAGAUAUUGCAGGCAAAGUUGAAACAAGCCAGACAAGUUCUCUUUGUAUUCUUGAGAGACUUGGAAAGUCUAACCUGAGAUUCCUUAUUAAAAGUUCCAGCAAAACAGACUUAAAAAGAGCCUAUAUGAUUUUUUUUUAAUUAAAAAGUAAACUUUAAUGUCGAAAAUGCGAACUUGGGGAAGACAGAAAAGAUCACAAACAAGGCUGUCACGUCACACUUGGAAGGUUGUACAGUGGCCAGGCAGAGGCACUCCUCACUUCCCAGAUGGGGCGACGGCUGGGCAGUGGCACUCCUCACUUCCCAGAUGGGGUGGCCGGGCAGAGGUGCUCCUCACUUCCCAGACAGUGGGGCAGCUGGGCAGCGGCGCUCUUCACUUGCCAGACAGGGCGGCAGCUGGGCAGACGCGCUCCUCACAUCCCAGAUGGGGUGGUGGCCGGGCAGAGGCACUCCUCAUUUGCCAGACAGUGGGCAGCUGGGCAGAGAUGCUCCUCACUUCCCAGACAGGGCAGAAGCUGGGGAGAGGCGCUCCUCACUUCCCAGACAGUGGGCAGCCGGACAGAGGCACUCCUCACUUCCCAGACUGUGGGGCGGCCGGGCAGAGGGGCACCUCACUUCCCAGAUGGGGUAGCCGGGCAGAGGCGCUCCUUACUUCCCAGACAGUUGGGCGGCUGGGCAGAGGCGCUCCUCACUUCCCAGACGGUGGGAAGCUGGGCAGUGGUGCUCCUGACAUCCCAGAUGGGGAGGCCAGGCAGAGGCCCUCAUCACUUCCCAGACAGGCUGGCCGGGCAGAGGUGCUCCUCACUUCCCAGUCAGUUGGGCAGCCGGGGAGAGGUGCUUCUCACUUCCCAGACAGUGGGCAGCCGGGCAGAGGCGCUCCUCACUUCCCAGACAGUUGGCAGCCGGGCAGAGGGGCUCCUCACUUCCCAGAUGGUUGGCAGCUGGGCAGAGGCACUCCUCACAUCCCAGAUGGUGGGCAGCUGGGCAGAGGUGAUCCUCACUUCCCAGACGGGGCGGUGGCUGGGCAGAGGCGCUCCUCACUUCCCAGAUGGGGCAGUGGCCAAGAGCCUAUAUGAUUAAUCACUACUCUUGUUGCACUUAAUCAGGGCAAGUAUAAAGAGACUAGACUUAUUUUGCAAAUUAGUCUUUACUGUGACUAUCUUUGGUAGAAAUGGAGGUGACAGAGAGAAAUAUUAUGUUUUAGUAAAAAAAACUAUUAUGCACCUGUAAAAAGUAAAGUAGAGGUUCCUCUUCAAAGACUUUCCUCCCCGUCUGAUUAGGAACAAAUAGUAACUUCUCUUAGAAGCAAAAUUUAUUCAAAGACCUGUGCUAACAUUCUUAAAUAUCUGCUAGCCGUAAUAAAGAAAUCAAUGUACUUUAUGUUAGCUCCCACAAUUUAGCCUAAAUAUUUGCCCUGGCAUGCUUAUACUGGUCCAAGAAAGCAUUAGGUCACAGCCUGUUCUUCUUCCUUAUUUGAAGGUGUUUUUACCUUUCUCAGCAUUCCACGUUACCUCCUCCUUCCUUUGUUCUCCUCUGCCUUUGCCUCUUUUAAAAAGUUCUGAGUUGCUAGAAUACAGAAUGUGAGGUCCUGUUGCAGCCAAUGGAAACUGGGCACAGCAGUAGGGUGGAUGCGUCGGGUUAUAAAUGACCCUGACUCCUUUGUUCGGUGUACUCUCAUGGCAAAACUGCUGGCGAGUGUACCCUUUCUGCAGAAAGUAUACAAAUGGCCUUGCUGAGUAAAUUAAAUUUAUGUUCAAGUGCUAUUUCUUUACAGCACCAGGGAACAAGCAUUUCAAACACACCUGUGACUAGAUUCUAGUUCUGUUCAUUGUCUUUGAAGUUUUGUUAUUUACCUGCAAACUGGACUGGAUCCCCAAUUCUAGUUUCCUCCAAUAUCUGGUUAUGACUCUCCAAACUAACAUUCCAAUUUUUUUCCAACCCUUCUGACUUGGAAUCACUAAGAACAAACUGCUCUUUUCAUGAAGCUGCAAAAGCUGAAGCUGCUUGACUUGAUAUUAACUUUAGAGUAUCGAUGAAGAGUCAGACUCUUUGAUUGAUGAUCCAAUCAAACAUUUGAUUGAUGUCAAAUGUAUUCAUCAUCAAUCAAAUACAUUUGAGAAAUACAUUGGUUUGGUCCAGAAAGACAAGACAACUCAAAGCAGGGGCUUUCAGGCUAUAGGUAAAUUGAAACAUUUUCUGGUUGAAAAUUGGUUGAAUUUGUCUAAGACCUGCAAUGAUAGAAAGGAAAUGUUCAGGUUAAGAUAAAAGAUUGUGGAGACCAAGGUUCUUUUGAAGUCUUAUAGUGGCUGCCCUUAGAGACAAUAGAUGAUAAAUUUUCCUAUUCAGAUCUUUAAAAGGUGCUAGACUCUUCGUUAAUCUCUUCAGGAUUGGAAGGGCCUGGAAGAAAAAGAUCUAGCUUUGUUAAUAGAGAUUCUUUACAGAUACAAAUUUUCCCCCACAAAGGACAGCUUUGCAGGGCCAUUUCAAAAUAUGGCAAAGAAACAUGUUUUGGGUUAAAAUAUUUUAACUUUCUUCUUUGUCAUGUUAUGCUAGAGUCAGAUUGGAAAGUACGUCACAAUACAUAGGGUUAAAUAAAACCCAUCUGAUGAGAAUGUAUGGUUUGUAGAGGAAUGACCCCUUUGUACUUUUUAAGGUAUGAUGAUUCAUUUGGAAUUUCCUUUUGUAUGAGGAAUGAGGAAGAGAUUCAGCACUAUUUCUUUUCCCCAGUGGGCUAGCUUAUUAUUCCAGACAUUUAUUUAAAAAUCUAUCUUGGCUGGGUGCAGUGGCUCACGCCUGUAAUCCCAGCACAUUGGGAGGCCAGCGCAGGAGGAUUGCUUGAGCUCAGGAGUUCAAGACCAGCCUCAUCAACCUAGUGAGACUUGGUCUUUACCAAAAAUUUAAAAAAUUAGCUGGGUGUGGUGGCACGCACCGGUAGUCCCAGCUAUUAGUGAGGUGGUGUUGCUCAUCUGGGGUAAUACCUGAGGUUCAUUGCCUCACACCAAGGAAAUAGAGGAUGCAGACACACGCAGGAGUGAGUUUAAGAGCAGAGGUUUAAUAGGCAAAAGAAAGAGAAUAGCUGUCUCUCCUACAGAGAGAGAGGGACUCCUGAGUGGGUCAUCCGGUUCUGUGGUGGAAUGCAUGGGGUUUAUAGAGGAGCUUGAGGAGGCAGUGUCUGAUUUACAUAGGGCACAAGACCUUGGUUGGACCAGGUGUGCCGUUUGCAUAGUGCGAAGAAGCUGGCCAUCCCACCCUAAUCUUUUAUUAUGCAGAUGGGGUCUCUACCUGGCCAGUGCCAUGUCACCUGCUCUUUUACUGCAUAUGUGGGGACAAAGAAAAGGGAAGAUGGAGCCUCCAUGUUGAACAUGCCUGGCCUCCAGGUAGCCUUUUCCUAUUGGCGCAGCAGCCAGCAUUCACUUAUGCAAGCUUCCAGCUUGCUUAUCUAUGUCUGCAGCUUGAUUUUACAGGCUCUCAGUCUGCCUUAUGCCCCUUGGAUGAAUUCUUUCCUCUGAAGAGGCAAGAAAUGAGGUUGCUGCAGACCUGUAUGGAUUUGUCACUGCUAACAAUCUCUCCAUUUGUUACUUUUCUUUUCUUUUCUUUUUUUUUUUUUUUGAGAUGGAGUCUUGCUCUAUUGCCUAGGCUGGAGUGCAGUGACACAAUCUCAGCUCACGGCAACCUCUGCCCCAGGUUCAAGUGAUUCUCCUGUCUCACCCUCCCUAGUAGCUGGGAUUACAGGUGUCUGCCACCAUGCCUGGCUAAUUUUUGUAUUUUUAGUAGAUGUAGAAAGUAAAAAGUUUCCUCUUCAAAGUUUUCCUUCUUGUUAAAGAAUAAAUCAUAAGUGUUAGGAAAAAUAGUUUCUUUUAAAGACUAACUUUCUUCAAGCCUCCUUGCUUUGUGCUAAUAACUCUUUGUUAAACCCUAUCCUAUGUAACUGUUGGACAUGCUCACAGGCACGUUCCAGCUCACAGCCUAUGCCCCUUCCUUAUAUGGACAUGUUAUUGCUUCCUUAAACCUUCCGUAAGCAACUUCUUUGUUCUUCCCUGCACUAACCUAUUGAGGAAAGUUUUAGGCUAUUAGCAAAUCAGGUAUCAGUUUAAGAUUGUGAGGUCCUGCUCCAGCCAAUGGAUGCAGGAUACAGCAGUAGAGACGACCCAAAUGCUUAAGGGAUAACUAUGUCUGCUUUUCCUUUGUUCAAGUGUGCUCUCGCCAUUGUUCCAUCUGUGAGUGAGCACCCUUUCUGCAGAAAGUAAAGAUGGCCUUGCUGAGAGAUCUUUUGUCUCUGUGCUUUCUUUUGUUCGUGGCACCGAUGAUCUAUUUCUAACACUUUUGGUAUUUCUAGCAGUAGAGGUGGGGUUUCACCAUGUUGGCCAGGCUGGUCUCGUUGGCCAGGCUGGUCUCGAGCUCCUGACCUCAAGUGAUCUGCCCACCUUGGCCUCCCAAAGUGCUGGGCAAAGUGCUGGGAUUACAGGUGUGAGCCACUGCGUGCAGCCCUCCAUUUGUUUCUCUAGGAGCUAUUUUAAUUACUAUAACUUCAUAAUAUGUUUUUUUGUUUGUUUGUGAGACAGGGUCUCACUCUGUUGCCCAGGCUGGAGUACAGUGGUGUGAUCAUAGCUCACUGCAGCCUUGAUCCUCCAGGUUCUAGCAAUCCUUCUGCCUCAGCCUCCUGAGUAGCUGGAAUUACAGACACACACCACUGAAACCACCUUUACAAAAAGUAUAUCAGUGGGAAAAUGAUGGCAGUGGGAAAGAUCUGAUCUUGCCAAGCCCCAUCACCACCGUUCCCUGCCCCCACCUCCUCACCCCUCCCGGCCCUGUCUUUGGCCUUCUGGCUGCCCUUAAUUAUUCCUGGGCUUAGGCCAAGAUAACUUUGGGAGACAUUUAGUUUAUAGUUUAAACGAUAGUAGCCCUUCCCCAAACUCAGCUGCCUUUAUAAUCCUAAUGAGGGAGCACCAGGCUAGGAGGAUAGAAGAUCCUGAAUUCUGCUAGGGUGUAGAUGUAAAUGAUUGGCAGCCAUUAUUCUGAAGGUCACAAAAUAUGCAACUUCCCCCAAUUACCCCUGCAGAUAACAUCACUAACAUAGAACCAAUGAUUGGCCUUUUGAGAUGUCUUUUCAGGUUUUUUUGUAUGUCUGAUACCGAUGGCUCCACCUGGAUCCACCAACUACUCCCGUGGCCCCACCCAGAAGUGACUCAGUGCCCAGGAGGACUAUUUCCCACACCCCUGUGAUUGCAUUACCAACCAACCAGCAGCAAGCAAUCAUUACCUAGUCACCCCAACCCCUUUCCCCAAACUACCUUUGAAAAACCCUAGCCCCCAAAUGCCCUAGGAGACUUAUUUGAGUAAUAAAAACAAACAAACAAACAAACAAAAACCUCUAGUUUUUCAUUCGGCCAGCUCUAUGUGAAUUAAACUCUUUCUCCACUGCAAUUCCCCUGCCUUGAUAAAUUGGCUCUAUCUGGGCAGUGGACAAGAAUUCACUGGGCAGUUACACCACCACACCCAGCUGAAUUUUUUUUUUUUAUUUUUAGUGAAGACGAGGUUUCACUGUGUUGCUCAAGCUGGUCUCGAACUCCUGAGCUCAAGUGAUCCUCCUACCUCCACCUCCCAAAGUGCCAGGAUGACAGGUGUGAGCUACCGUGCCCAUCCCAUAAUGUCUUAACAUCUGGAGAAUAAUACAUGUUUUCUUUAAUCCUCAAAAUAAUUCAGUGAGUAAAAUCCUUCUUCCAUGAUUGCAAAUGAGGAAAUGGAACAGCGGUGAAGCAACUUGUCCCUGGCCACAGGGAUGUUAAGUGCAACCCUGAGAUCUGCACUAGCCUCUGCAUUUCUCUCCAGGGCCUUUUUGAAUGCAUGGCCUUCUAGUAGAGCUUUGUAGGUUCUCAUGUCAUCCUAAGACUCAGAAAGUCCAUCAGGUUUCCCCUGGUAGAAUCAAAAGUCUUGUAGUUUAUUGGUCUUGUUAGUCUUAGUCCCAGUUAAUAAAAAAACAUAUAUAUAUAUGUACACACACACACACACACACACACACAUAUAUAUACAUGCAUAUAUAAAUUAUAGGGAUAUUUUGUCUUUUUUUUUGAAACAG
rnacentral:lncRNA from 1 species